rnacentral:rRNA from 1 species
CCUUUCCUUCGGGACAGUGGAGACAGGUGGUGCAUGGUUGUCGUCAGCUCGUGUCGUGAGAUGUUGGGUUAAGUCCCGCAACGAGCGCAACCCCUAUCCUUAGUAGCCAGCAGUUAAGAUGGGCACUCUAGGGAGACUGCCAGGGAUAACCUGGAGGAAGGUGGGGAUGACGUCAAAUCAUCAUGCCCCUUAUGACCUGGGCUACACACGUGCUACAAUGGCGUAAACAAAGGGAAGCGAAGUCGUGAGGGUAAGCAAAUCUCAAAAAUAACGUCUCAGUUCGGAUUGUAGUCUGCAACUCGACUACAUGAAGCUGGAAUCGCUAGUAAUCGCAGAUCAGAAUGCUGCGGUGAA